CCUACGGGAGGCUGCAGUGAGGAAUAUUGGUUAAUGGGCGGAAGCCUGAACCAGCCAAGUAGCGUGCGGGAUGAAGGCCCUACGGGUCGUAAACCGCUUUUGCACGGGGAUAACACCCUCCACUUGUGGAGGUCUGCAGGUACCGUGCGAAUAAGGGCCGGCUAAUUCCGUGCCAGCAGCCGCGGUAAUACGGAAGGCCCGAGCGUUAUCCGGAUUCAUUGGGCUUAAAGGGAGCGUAGGCGGGCGUUCAAGUCAGCUGUAAAAUCGCGCGGCUCAACCGCGCCCCGCAGUUGAAACUGGACGCAUUGAGUUCACAACAGGCAGGCGGAAUUCGUGGUGUAGCGGUGAAAUGCAUAGAUAUCACGAGGAACCCCGAUUGCGAAGGCAGCCUGCCGGGGUGCGACUGACGCUGAGGCUCGAAGGUGCGGGUAUCAAACAGGAUUAGAUACCCCUGUAGUC
rnacentral:rRNA from 1 species